UACGUAGGUGGCGAGCGUUAUCCGGAAUUACUGGGUGUAAAGGGCGUGUAGGCGGCACUGUAAGUCAGAUGUGAAAUCCUGUGGCUUAACUUGGAGAGUGCAUCUGAUACUGCAGUGCUUGAGAGAUAGAGAGGAAAGCGGAAUUCCUAGUGUAGCGGUAAAAUGCGUAGAUAUUAGGAGGAACACCAGUGGCGAAGGCGGCUUUCUGGCUAUUAACUGACGCUGAGGCGCGAAAGCGUGGGGAGCAAACAGG
rnacentral:rRNA from 1 species